CGAGGACUGCGUAUUUCAAGUGAUGAGAAACAAGAGGACAGUGAAUGAAUGUUGACUACUACUGGCAAACACUUCCUCUUUUACAAGUCUUCUCACGCUUUUCCUGGCAGGUUCUUCCAGCAUUAUCACUGCCGACGGUAAGUAUGUAGAAAGUAGGUAUGUUGAAAGUAGAUAUGUAGAAGGUAGAUAUGUAGAAGGCAGGUAUGUAGAAGGUAGGUACGUAGGAGGUAGGUAUGUAGGAGGUAGGUAUGUAGAAGGCAGGUAUGUAGAAGGUAGGUACGUAGGAGAUAGGUAUGUAGGAUGUAGGUAUGUAGGAGGUAGGUAUGUAGGAGGUAGGUGUAGAAGGUAGGUAUGUAGGAGGUAGGUAUGUAGGAGGUAGGUACGUAGGAGGUAGGUGUAGAAGAUAGGUUUGUAGAAGGUAGAUAAGUAGAAGGUAGGUAUGUAGAAGGUAGGUGUAGAAGAUGGGUUUGUAGAGGGUAGAUAGGUAGAAGGUAGGUAUGUGGAAGUAUGUAACUGGGUUCAGAUUAGACGCCAACAGAAACGUUAGAAACUCUCCCGUAGCCAGGAUGCCCCAAAGCGACGCGUGAGUUUGACUGAAUGAGUGCAUAAGAGGCCGAGGAGCGGCGGCGCGGAACAAAGACGGAUGAAGAGAAGCGAGCAGCACGAGCCGCUGAUGUGGAACCAAUGCGAGCUCCGCAGUAGCUGUUGCGCCGAC
ensembl:lncRNA